rnacentral:rRNA from 1 species
GUAACCUGCCUCAAAGUGGGGGAUAGCCUUCCGAAAGGAAGAUUAAUACCGCAUAAAGCCAAGUUUCACAUGGAAUUUGGAUGAAAGGAGUAAUUCGCUUUGAGAUGGACCCGCGGCGCAUUAGUUAGUUGGUGGGGUAAUGGCCUACCAAGACAGCGAUGCGUAGCCGACCUGAGAGGGUGAUCGGCCACAUUGGAACUGAGAUACGGUCCAGACUCCUACGGGAGGCAGCAGUGGGGAAUAUUGCACAAUGGGCGAAAGCCUGUUGCAGCAACGCCGCGUGAGUGAUGAAGGUCUUCGGAUUGUAAAGCUCUGUCUUUUGGGACGAUAAUGACGGUACCAAAGGAGGAAGCCACGGCUAACUACGUGCCAGCAGCCGCGGUAAUACGUAGGUGGCGAGCGUUGUCCGGAUUUACUGGGCGUAAAGGGUGCGUAGGCGGAUGUUUAAGUGAGAUGUGAAAUACCCGGGCUUAACUUGGGUGCUGCAUUUCAAACUGGAUAUCUAGAGUGCAGGAGAGGAGAAUGGAAUUCCUAGUGUAGCGGUGAAAUGCGUAGAGAUUAGGAAGAACACCAGUGGCGAAGGCGAUUCUCUGGACUGUAACUGACGCUGAGGCACGAAAGCGUGGGUAGCAAACAGGAUUAGAUACCCUGGUAGUCCACGCCGUAAACGAUGAGUGCUAGGUGUAGGAGGUAUCGACCCCUUCUGUGCCGCAGUAAACACAUUAAGUACUCCGCCUGGGAAGUACGAUCGCAAGAUUAAAACUCAA